CGUUCACGAUUGCGGUGUUCAACUACCUACACUCAGGUAUUAGAUUCGAAUCUCUGGUUAUAGUAGAUUAGAUAUACUGCUUUACUUAUUUUCAUGCACAUCAUGCAGAUUUUGUUAUUCAGAUUUUUACAUAUACAUAUACAUGCCAUAGAUCUAUUUAUAGGAUAUUUUAUGAUCAGAUCAUAUGUUUGCAUUAUAGAUUAAAAUAUUUAAUCUGAAGUUAUUCU
rnacentral:lncRNA from 1 species